AUUGAACGCUGGCGGCAGGCUUAACACAUGCAAGUCGAGCGGGGUGAUGGUGCUUGCACUAUCACUUAGCGGCGGACGGGUGAGUAAUGCUUAGGAAUCUGCCUAUUGGUGGGGGACAACAUCUCGAAAGGGAUGCUAACACCGCAUACGUCCUACGGGAGAAAGCAGGGGAUCACUUGUGACCUUGCGCUAAUAGAUGAGCCUAAGUCGGAUUAGCUAGUUGGUGGGGUAAAGGCCUACCAAGGCGACGAUCUGUAGCGGGUCUGAGAGGAUGAUCCGCCACACUGGGACUGAGACACGGCCCAGACUCCUACGGGAGGCAGCAGUGGGGAAUAUUGGACAAUGGGGGAACCCUGAUCCAGCCAUGCCGCGUGUGUGAAGAAGGCCUUAUGGUUGUAAAGCACUUUAAGCGAGGAGGAGGCUCUUUUGGUUAAUACCCAAGAUGAGUGGACGUUACUCGCAGAAUAAACACCGGCUAACUCUGUGCCAGCCGCCGCAGUAA
rnacentral:rRNA from 1 species